GUAGCACACAGAAAGGGCCAGCCUCAUCAGUGUCUCCAGCCAAUUGAAUUGCAGCAUUUUCUAAGAGGGCGGUUCUAAUUAACUCCCCCAAUCAACCCAGCUGCAGUACUUUUCUUCGACUUUUGUUAGGGUUAGAGCGGCCAUUUUCUAGAGAGGAGGUUGCAUGUCUCUGGGUGGGAGCCGACUGCAAAUAUAUGUAUGUUAUGGCCUUGCUGGCAGAAUAUUUGUUUGCAUAUGUGUGAGAAAAAUAGAAGGCACCUGGAGAAACUGGAGUGAAGUGGAGCCCAGCAUCAGGGGAGAAAAUCACCUCAGUGGAUUUCCUGCCACUGGCUGUGUCAGAGGGAGAAGAGGAAGCAGACUGGGAGCAGCAGGUGUUGGAAGUUGAAGAGGAUUUAGCGAGAAAGAAGAGGCUGUGGUAGAGAGCAGUCCAAAAUCAGAGGAGGAAGCAGAGGCUGACGAGAGGGGCCAAGAGGCACAGAUGAGGCAGGCUGCUGAAGAAGCCAGCGGUACGAAAUCUGUAGCCCUCCAAAUGUUGCCCUACUAACGGAUCUAUGACAUGCUGCAGACUGCCUGAAUGAAGCAUUCAGAACACCGUUUGUGAACCUCUGCAGUACACUCCCACACUAAACCCCAACUGCUGGCCUGCAAUCCCUUUGGAGGGAUACCCCAAUGUUGAAGACGACGAGGGUUACAACAAGAAGAAGAGGACUAGAGAGAUACUACAGUCAGUUGACUAGAUGAUACUCUUUCCUGGAUUGCUCCCUCACGUGUGCAAGGGCACACCUUUCUCCCACCCACUUGACACACCUGUCAAAACUCUCAUA